rnacentral:rRNA from 1 species
AUACGGAGGGUGCAAGCGUUACGCGGAAUCACUGGGCGUAAAGCGCGCGCAGGCGGCUUGAUAAGUUGGAUGUGAAAGCCUACGGCUCAACCGUAGAACUGCAUCCAAAACUGUCAGGCUAGAGUGUGAGAGAGGAAGAUGGAAUUAGUUGUGUAGGGGUAAAAUCCGUAGAGAUAACUAGGAAUACCAAAAGCGAAGGCAAUCUUCUGGAACACUACUGACGCUGAGGCGCGAAGGCGUGGGGUGCAAACAGAAUUAGAAACCCCAGUAGUCC